rnacentral:rRNA from 1 species
AGUGAACGCUGGCGGUAGGCCUAACACAUGCAAGUCGAACGGCAGCACAGUAAGAGCUUGCUCUUACGGGUGGCGAGUGGCGGACGGGUGAGGAAUACAUCGGAAUCUACUUUUUCGUGGGGGAUAACGUAGGGAAACUUACGCUAAUACCGCAUACGACCUACGGGUGAAAGCAGGGGAUCUUCGGACCUUGCGCGAUUGAAUGAGCCGAUGUCGGAUUAGCUAGUUGGCGGGGUAAAGGCCCACCAAGGCGACGAUCCGUAGCUGGUCUGAGAGGAUGAUCCGCCACACUGGAACUGAGACACGGUCCAGACUCCUACGGGAGGCAGCAGUGGGGAAUAUUGGACAAUGGGCGCAAGCCUGAUCCAGCCAUACCGCGUGGGUGAAGAAGGCCUUCGGGUUGUAAAGCCCUUUUGUUGGGAAAGAAAAGCAGCAGGUUAACACCCCGCUGUUCUGACGGUACCCAAAGAAUAAGCACCGGCUAACUUCGUG